rnacentral:snRNA from 1 species
AUGCUUGCUUGGGCAGCACAUAUACUAAAAUUGGAAUGAUACAGAGAUGGUUAGCAUGGUUCCUGUGCAAGGAUGACACACAAAUUCAUGAAGCGUCCCAUAUUUUA